rnacentral:rRNA from 1 species
GUGGGGAAUAUUGGACAAUGGGGGGAACCCUGAUCCAGCCAUGCCGCGUGUGUGAAGAAGGCCUUUUGGUUGUAAAGCACUUUAAGCGAGGAGGAGGCUACCGAGAUUAAUACUCUUGGAUAGUGGACGUUACUCGCAGAAUAAGCACCGGCUAACUCUGUGCCAGCAGCCGCGGUAAUACAGAGGGUGCAAGCGUUAAUCGGAUUUACUGGGCGUAAAGCGCGCGUAGGUGGCCAAUUAAGUCAAAUGUGAAAUCUCCGAGCUUAACUUGGGAAUUGCAUUCGAUACUGGUUGGCUAGAGUAUGGGAGAGGAUGGUAGAAUUCCAGGUGUAGCGGUGAAAUGCGUAGAGAUCUGGAGGAAUACCGAUGGCGAAGGCAGCCAUCUGGCCUAAUACUGACACUGAGGUGCGAAAGCAUGGGGAGCAAACAGGAUUAGAUACCCUAGUAGUCC